AUUCAGAAGCUCAGGUCAUUAUUUCUUACACAUGGACUAGAUGGUCAGUUUUAUUCUUUUUGUUGUUGUUUUAAAUCUGUUAUUAGUAAAUAUUUUUCAACUUAUCUGGGUGAAUUUUUAACUAUCUCUUGAAAAGAGUAGAUAUGUGGACUUUUUUUUCAUUUUAAGUCUAAUAUAAAAUUUUGGUUAUGUUGAUUGUGACUUUCUUGGUCUUAAUUUUAAUUUUUCUUCCUUCUUCAAUGCCUGCUCUUCGGCUGUUAUUUCUCUUCUGUGCACUAAUUUGGAAAUGUGUUUGCUUUGUGCUCUUCUGAGGCUACUUAUAGAGUUUUUAAAAAUAUUAUUCUCAGUGACCACAUUUUGUUCAUAUUCUCAUUUCCCAUGUACCUUCUUAGAUUCAUACAUGUAAUUUAUUUCUAUGUUGCUUUAACUUCUAUUAGUUCUUGACAUUAUUCUCAACAAUUAGCACUUAUAUAGAAGUAGCCAUGAUUAUAUAACUUUUACUUCACCAUUGCUGCUACAGUUGUUUAUUCCCUUCUUUGGUAGAAACUCUUGGUCAAUAACAACUUGUAGUAGUUGGAUGAGCAAGAUUUUCUUAGGAAUAGAAUUUCUCUUUGGGAUAUUUAAACAUUCUUAGAUGUUGACAUUUGAAAAUCCCAGCUAGGAUGCAAUUUUAAGUUUGUCUUUGUCUUCUCUUGGUCCUGUGAGGAUACCACACUGUGUCUGUUACUUAUUACAAAGCUUUUACGCAUCCCAUUGCUGUUCCUGAUGAUUAUUUCUUGGACAAAAUGGCUGCAAAGAAUUCUUUUUUUUUUUGAUGUUUGGACAGAUUUCAACUCAGAUGGAAAUUGGAAUGAGUACACAUCUUUCAUGAAAUUUGCUGUUUUGCUUUAGCUGAGAGCACUUAUUUUAAACAUAUUACCCUCAAUGGUUUUAGAUAUUGCUUCUCUGCCGUCCACAUUCUUAAACCACUGUAGAUGAGCAUUCUGACUGUGUAUAAGAGUUCCUGUAUUUCUUAGUUUUAAAUUUAUUCCUUGAGAAUUUUAAUAUAUGUAUCAUUGUUUGAUUAAAUUUAUUCUGAUCCUUCUAUCUACCUUCAAAGUGCCCCAUACAACACUACUACCACUUCGCCUUCCCAAUUUGUAGGCUCUCUUUUAAACCUGUUGAGUAUACUUAGUGUUGCCUACAUACAUAUGGUUCUAAGGCCAUCCAUGGGAACAUUAAAAGCCUAUUAAUGGUUACAACCAUUAAAAGAAAGAAAGCAAAAAGCAAAACAAACAAAACAAACACAAAAACUUUCUUCUCAACAGCCAUCAAUUGCCAGUAGCUUUUCAGCCCAAUCCACAAAACAGAAUUCACAUGUAGUAUUGUCAGUUGUGCUAAUCACCUAUGGCUGGGUAGUCAUAGGUGCUGCUACUAUUAUUUGCUAUAUUAACAUAAUAUUAGACUGCCUUCUAAAUGCUUGUCUUUAUACCCAUAGAUUAUUUCUGUUCUCAACCUCUGUCAGAGAACUUUUUGUAGUCCUGACUAAUGCUGAGACUCACAACUGACAAACAUUACUUGCAUUUUUGUCUUUAAGUCUUACUUUUGUUUUUAAUCAUUUAAAACAAUGAUCAGCACAUUGUUCAUUUGCUUUCUGUAAAUGACCAGUAAAUAAAUGGUAGCAGUCUUACACUACCAUUCUGCUACAGCUCUUCUCUAAGCAUCAUGUUACAGAAGUAGAACAGAACAAUCUAGAAAGCACUGGGGAUGUUGUGUUCUAGCAAAACUUUAUUCAGCAGCACAGGCAUUGGACUACAAGUACCUUUGAGUCAAAGUGUACUCUAUAAUCAUAGGUAGCUCAAGUUCCAGACAGUCGUCCUGUUGUAGAUAUCAGCUGUCCAUGCCUAGAGUGUGUUUCAUUUGUUCUGAUUGCCAGUUAAGAAGCCUGCACAUGGAUUGCAGUGGACACCAGAGUGCCUUGAAUUGGGGAAUGGUUUGGAACAGAAUAUUUGCCCCUCAGAUCUUGCAUCUGGAAUUUUUAUCAGUAUUUGUUUAUUAAAUUAUCAUUCUAAAAAUAUACCUUGAAUGGAAAUCUUAUAAAAACUAUCUGUUCUUACUAUACUGCCUGAAACGUGGUGGGAACACACAACUGAUAUUGCUGUCAUCUGUUUGUUAAAAAUUACGAGUCCUAGGCAUGAGGAUUGCCACAAGUUCAAGGCCAGUUUGAAUUCAAAGUGAGCUUCAGGCAUGCCUGCAUUGCAGUGUAAGAUUCUGUUGUGGAAAAACAAAACCAAUAAAAAAUAAAUAAAUCAUCCUGGUACUGAUUUAACUCAAAUAAAUGUUGAUAUUUCUGUCAUCUGUUUGUUAAAAUUACGAGUACUGAACAGAGAUAUAGCUCAGUGGGAGAGAGUUUGCUGAGCAUCUUCAGUCCCCCUGUGUUCAAUGCCUAGCACUGAAAAAGAUAGAAAAUUAAUUUAACAAUAUGUUGCUAUCAUUGGAGUUAAGUUUUAGAGAACAUACAAAAAUUUCUUUAUUUGUGCUUCUAAAUAUUUUGGAAAUUCUGAUACAUUGCAAUUUAUAAUUACCUAUACCUCAAACUCAGGAGUCCUAGGCAUGAGGAUUGCCACAAGUUCAAGGCCAGUUUGAAUUCAAAGUGAGCAUCUGGCAUGCCUGCAUUGCAGUGUAAGAUUCUGUUGUGG
rnacentral:lncRNA from 1 species